AUUGAACGCUGGCGGCGUGCUUAACACAUGCAAGUCGAUCGGUAACAGGUGUAGCAAUACAUGCUGACGAGAGGCGGACGGGUGAGUAAUGCUUGGGGAUCUGCCUAUUAGUGGGGGACAACCCGGGGAAACUCGGGCUAAUACCGCAUACGCUCUACGGAGGAAAGCCGGGGACCGCAAGGCCUGGCGCUAAUAGAUGAGCCCAAGUCGGAUUAGCUAGUUGGUAGGGUAACGGCCUACCAAGGCGACAAUCCGUAGCUGGUCUGAGAGGACGACCAGCCACACCGGAACUGAGACACGGUCCGGACUCCUACGGGAGGCAGCAGUGGGGAAUAUUGGACAAUGGGGGCAACCCUGAUCCAGCGACGCCGCGUGGGUGAAGAAGGCCUGCGGGUUGUAAAGCCCUUUGGUGGGGAAGAAAAGUCUCGACCUAAUACGUCGGGACCUUGACGUAACCCACUAAAGAAGCACCGGCUAACUCUGUGCCAGCCGCCGCGGUAAC
rnacentral:rRNA from 1 species